CCGGAAAGGAGUGUGUAGUAUUAGUGUUGCUGUUACUCAGUUACUGCAAGGUCACUUGCAAAUAGCAUUUGGCGAACUUAAUCCAUGUCAAUAAGCAAUGAUGAAAUAUUUCCAACAGGAGGUGGGGAUAGAAUUGUAACGCUGUUGGUGGUUCUCAUUCAUAGAGUUUCGUAAUAAGCAAUAUGAGUCAGAUAGAAUACUUCCUAUGUAAGCUGCAUGCCAGUGCCUAUUAAAUCUUCAUCGUCUAGCAAUAUUAUAUACCACUUAGAACCAUAGCAUUCCCCUGCAAGAAAGGACCCUUCAGCUAGUGUAAGAGAUGCGCACCCUCUCUUCUGCACAUCAACUUGAGCCUGCAAGCAUUAUCAAACAUUUCUUUACUUUCAUGACCAGUCCCUGAUGAUGGUAUAUAACAUGCAGACGUGCGACCUGAGAACGAAACCUCUGGGUAUAUUUUUAUUCACGCUGAAGGUGGACUAAACCAGCAACGUAUAGCUGUAUGUAUGCACUUCUGUUUUUCUCAGUCUUCCUUCUUAUUUUGUGUGAGUGCUAAAUAUUUACUAAAAUGGUUCGAUAGUUUUUUCUCCAUGAGCAUUGAGCUGUUGUCACCUCCUGGUGUGUCUGAAUCUUUUUACCUGAUAUUUUUUUUCCUAUGAGGGUGGUUGUUGCUAAAGCAUAAUUACAGCGUCAGUAUAAUCUAGUAAUUUCUUUUGACAGUAUAUGUUUGUCAUGAUCUCUUACUCUCCUAUAACUGAUUUAAGAACAAAAUAGAUUCUCCUGUCAUUUAAUACUAUUGAAAUACCUGCUCAAGAGGAUCACACCAAAUUCUUGAGUAGUGGAUGCUGGAAAUUAUUUUCCUAAAAUGACAUUGCUAUUAGUAUUUUUCCAGAUACCUAUCUGUUAAUUUCUUAUAUUGUGUACCUUGUCAGAUAUGUAAUGCUGUUGCAAUUGCUAAGAUAAUGGAUACAACACUUAUUUUGCCAGUUCUAAAGCAGGACCAGAUAUGGAAAGACCAAACGUAAGUGCUCUUUAAUGCUCUAACUUCUACUUGCCAAUUUCCCUGCUGGUGUAGUGGUUUUUAAUUAGUUGUUUUAUGAUACACUAGUUAAAUGCUUGCGCGUUUUUUCCAAUUGCAUGAGUUGUUUAACAACCAGUCCUUAACUCUGUGCAAAAUAAAAAAAUCAUCUCAAAAUAUACAUCAAUCGACUGAACUAAUAAAAAGAUCGUGAUAUAUGUCCUUAACUCUGUGCAAAAUAAAAAUCAUCUCAAAAUAUACAUCAAUCGACUGAACUAAUAAAAAGAUCGUGAUAUAUGUAUAUGUCUACUACAUAGAAUGGGUGACAAUUUAUGCAAUGGACUGCCACCAACUCAGAUCUGUAUAAGAGUGAUGAAGAAAAGAAAAUUCACUUUGAAACUUUAAUGACGCUGUCUGUUAACUCGGAAUAAUGUUCAACAGAGUGUUACAAAAAUGAACUAUGGUUAUUCUAUCGUAAUUUCUGCAUACAUGUGACUCCAAUAUACUUCUGGUCUUGGGUAUUAGGCUCUAAAAUAUAUUUUUCUUGACAUACUACAAUAGGAAUAUUCAAAAUAAGUGCCUCCAAGAUUUUCCAUUCCGUCCUUCAUGCUUAUCCAUGGGAUACUGAUCAUUUGCUGUCAUCGGAUGCUUUAGUAGUAAAGUAGUGACUACUAAAAGAACUACCACAUGAAGAUUAAUACUGCAUAUUGAAGUCAUUUUAGAACAUUUUAAGUUCUUGUAGUAUGAAUUUUACAAGCAGGAAAGUUUCUUAUAUCAUGUUUAGCAGGUCUAAAGUUUUUUAGUUUCACACUCGUUGUUGAAUGCUAAACUAACUGAUAUAGUUAUAUGUGAUAUAACGUAGAGUCAUGAUUCUCUUAGUUGCAGCCUCACCUGAUUUGAACUCCUUUUAAAUACAUUGUGUUUGACAUCAUUAUGUAGGUUUGUUAUGAACAUUUUAUUCUCUGCAGGAAAUUUGAAGAUAUAUUUGAUGUGGAUCAUUUCAUAAACUAUUUGAAGGAUGACGUACGCAUUAUCCGAGACAUCCCUGACUGGUUCGCUGAAAAAGAUGAGCUCUUCACCAGCAUAAAGUAGGUUAUAUAUUUUCACUUACCCCUUGCCUUAAGUCUCGGAGCUGUUUUAUGUUUUAAUUCAAAGGAUUUUCAUAGUAAUUUUGGAGGAUUGUAAUCUUGUUUGUUUGUAGUACAUACAGAUUUUUCCUAGGAGAUAAUUUGCACCCUAUUACAUAGGAAAUUUCCUUUGACUCAUACAUCUUGAAAAAAAUUCAUAUGGAUUUUACUAUGGUGUAAUCGAUCCAAUAGGAUGCAACAAGGCGUGACAUUGCAAUCCUACGCUUUUCCUAUUCCCUCGCUUUUGGAAUUUAAAAGACGCUUAUACAGUAUAGGGAGUCUUUGAGAUCAAAUGACUUCAUUGUGUUCAAUAUUCUGCUUUUAACUGUAUUGCAAUGUGGUCUAUGACAGGCGUACUGUGAAGAACAUCCCAAAGUAUGCAUCUGCGCAGUUUUACAUUGAUAAUGUACUUCCAAGGAUCAAAGAGAAAACAAUAAUGUCUAUUAAGCCAUUCGUCGACAGGUUGGGGUAAGUCCACAACUGAAUGCAACUAUAUGCUGUGGCAAUUAUUCAUAGAUUCUUUUUCUUAACCCAAAAUGUCCAAUCUGCUUCCAUGCUAAUGUAAGAGGACAUUGUUUUUUUUUUCAUUUUUAUGCAAUUUGUGCUGUAAAAGUUACAUUGCACCAAAUCUUCAUUCUGCAUGGAGCAGUACAAAAAAACAUAAUGCGAACAUUCAAUUUCAGGUAUGACAAUGUUCCGAUGGAGAUUAACCGUUUAAGAUGCAGAGUGAAUUAUCAUGCGCUGAAGUUCCUACCUCAUAUUGAAGAAAUGGCUGAUAAGCUGGCAACGAUGAUGAGGAACCGAACUGGCAGCGGAAACCCAUACAUGUAAGCUACAGUGAAUCUCUUCUGGUCAACCUGUUGGACUUCAUUAUUUUGAAGGAAGCGUUUUUUUUUUGUAAGCAAGGAAAUGUUUUUUCAUGAUCAAGUAAUUGUUCCACUUCUUCUAAAGGGCCCUUCAUCUGAGAUAUGAGAAAGGAAUGGUAGGCCUAUCCUUUUGUGAUUUUGCUGGAACUCGGGAGGAGAAAGUAAUGAUGGCAGCUUAUAGACAGAAAGAAUGGCCACGUCGCUAUAAGGUCAUCUCAAAUCUCAGUUUUUCUAAUAGUUCUGAAUUAUGGCGUCAGUUCAAGUCUUCGAGCUUUGAAAUGUGCAAGUGUGCACACUAUAACAUCCUAACAAGUGUUUUUUUUUUGCGCAUAACAACUUUCGAUGUUUUCUGCACGCAGAAUGGAUCUCACCUAUGGCCGUUAGCACUGAAAAAGAGAAAAGAAGGGCGUUGCCCCCUUGAGCCUGGUGAGAUAGCUGUGAUCCUGCGAGCAUUGGGGUACACAAGGGAAACACAGAUAUACGUUGCAUCAGGGCAGGUGUAUGGCGGCAAUAACAGGAUGGCUCCCCUCAGGAACAUGUUCCCAAACUUGGUAAUUGACUUCCAAUACUCAACUGCCAUGCUUCUUCACUUCCCUUGCAGACACGUUGCAGCAUACCUACCAUCAAAUUCCUUUUGGAUCAAGUCGAUUCAACCCUAUGACUAUUGCCCGAGUCAAGAAAUCACGAGUCGAAGUGUGUCGAAUGCCCUUUUUUUACAUCGUGAUCAACCUCCGGUCUCAGACAACAGUCAAGGAGGGCAAAAUGGACUUAUUCCUUUCGUGCUCUUCAUCUGCCUAUAGACAAACUUUUGCUCAAUCCAUUUUCCGAAUGGUUGCAGGUGACCAAGGAGGAGUUGGCGGGGGCGGCAGAGAUGGCGCAAUUCCGGAAGCACGUGACGAGCCUCGCAGCGCUGGACUUCCUGGUGUGCCUCAAGUCUGACGUUUUUGUGAUGACGCAUGGUGGCAACUUCGCCAAGCUCAUCAUGGGGGCGCGGCGCUACAGCGGGCGGCAUCGGCUCAAGUCCAUCAAGCCUGACAAGGGGCUCAUGUCCAGGUCCCUCGGCGACCCCUACAUGGGCUGGGCCUCCUUUGCUGAGGAUGUCGUCAUCACGCACCAAGCCCGCGCCGGCCUCCCCGAGCCGACCUUUCCAGGCUAUGACAUCUGGGAGAACCCCCUCACCCCCUGCAUGUGCAGAGCCUGAAACAAACUGAGCAGUAGUACACAAGUGACAACCAUUGCUAAGUUAGCUAGUGCUUCCAUUUUCCUUUAUUUCUAUUUUAUUUUUGUUCAGGUGGUACCAGUAGCAGUAUGUAGUCCUGGGCUCCUGGCUAUCUAAGGUUCAUGUGUCCAGAUGAUUAGGUGUAGUGCCUCGCCUGCUUAAACAGUUCUAUGGCCUAUGGGAUUCUUGUGUCCAGUCCAGAAGCAGGAUUUCUGGAUUCAGAUAUUGCAUUCUUGGCGCAAGAUGAAAUCAAUGUAUUUUUGUCAAGGGGGUGAAAUCAAUGUAUUUUGUCAAGGGGGUGAAAUCAAUGUAUUUUGUCAAGUGAUCGUACCAGUGGUAUUAUCAGAUGCUGUCUUACUACUACAGUGCACGCAGCGCAGGGGGUCAAAAAAUGGGAUGGAUGAGAGCUGAGCUGCGGAGACCCUGAGUUUAGUCCCACCUCGCCUCUUCACCUGCGCUUCGAGUGGUUUAUAAGGGAAGCUGCCGCCCCACGUUGCGUGUUCGUAAAAAGGAGAGACGGUUGGCAUCUCCCCUGACAGGGACGGGAACGGUCUUCGGACUUUCCUCUAGCACAUAGCGGUUAAGGCUACCCGCUUCGGCGGAUCUUACCCAAAUUUUUUUGCCAUUCCCACGGUUAAUUUACUUUGAAAGAUCUUUGCUGCAAAUAUGACGCACUAUCCUCGGUGACUCCCUGCACUUUCAGCGAGACCGAGACCACGUUGCUUUCCACACGGCAGCUAGGCAGCCGAUGCAGCGUCUCUCGUCGCCACGUACCCCCUCAACUCGAACACUCGGAAGGAAGCCAUUAAAAACUCCCCUCGGACACACUCUUCACUCCAGUACCAGACUACCAGUAUACGCUACCAGAAAAAACAUCCUCAGAUUGGCAAUGGCGCAGAUGAGAGUUUUCGGCGACGAGCAUGGGCAGCAAGAAUUGCUGCGCGGCGAGUUCCACGGCAGCAGCAGCGACAAAGGGGACAACAGCAGCAACAAGAAGGCCCGCGCGGGCCUGUGCGGCCUGCUCCGGGAGCGCAAGGUGCUGGAGCUUGCCCGGGGCAAGCGGCGGCUGGUGGAGGUCCCCUACACGGCGACGCUGGCGCACGCGGCCAACGCGCUCCUGGCCGGCCGCGUGUCCGCCGUCACCGUGGCCGCGCCGCCGGGCCACUGGAUCGGCGCCGGCGGCUCCAUGAUCGUCGAGUCCGACCCGGCCACCGGCGCCGCCCGCAAGCAUUACAUCGGCAUGGUCAACAUGCUCGACAUCGUCAUCCACAUCGCCGAGGCCGGCCAAGACAACGAAGACGACGACCUCGACCGCCGCAUGGCCGUGCCGGUCUCCUCCGUCAUCGGCCACUCCCUCGAGGGCCUCACCCUCUGGACCCUCCACCCAAACACCAGGUACGUAAUUCCCAAAUUCUCAAACCUGUAAAUCUGUACUACUUACUUCUCGGCAAAUUCACUCAUGGCCGUUUUCUUGCAAAUUGAAGCGUGCUGGACUGCAUGGAGACGUUCAGCAAGGGCGUGCACAGGGCGCUGGUGCCGCUGGAGAGCUCGGCGCCGGACACCAUCGUGGCCGUGGAACUCGUGGAGUCGGCGCCGGCUUACAAGAUGGUGACCCAGAUGGACGUGGUCCGGUUCCUGCGCGACCACGGCGCCGAGCUGGGCGCCGUCCUGUCGCGCACCGUCGGGGGCCUCGGCGCCGCCAGCGAGGCCGUGCUGGCCGUGGCGAGCCGCACCACGGUCAUCGAGGCCGUCCGCACGAUGCGCGCCGCCUCGCUCACCGCCGUCCCCGUCGUCGACGCCCCCGUCGACGCCUACGUCCUGCAAGACGUGCGUAAAACAAACAAAAACACUCCUCCAUGCCUUCUUCCUGGUUCCGCAAUCGGUCAAACACCUUACGGUCGAACAGCAGUUGAGUAAAAUUUUGGGUUGUUCUGUUUCAGGGGAGGGGGAAGAAGGUGGUGGAGACGUUCUCGGCGACGGACCUGCGGGACUGCCCCGUGGCGCGGCUGCGGGCGUGGCUGGGGGCCGGCGUGACGGAGUUCAAGGAGAAGGUGGCGGAGUACCGGCGCGAGGGCGGCAGGAGGCCCCUUG
rnacentral:lncRNA from 1 species